GCCUAGUUAGCUUGGUUGGUAGCGCGUCUGCCUUGUAAGCGCUAGGCCGUGGGUUCGAUUCCCACCCGGGGCG
rnacentral:tRNA from 1 species